rnacentral:tRNA from 1 species
ACAUUGGUAGCACAGUGGUGCAGUGAAUCGGAAAGACGCGGGUUCAAUUCCCGUCCGAUGUC